rfam:Ictidomys tridecemlineatus contig099830, whole genome shotgun sequence.
AGGGAUAUAGCUCAGUUGGUAAAGUGUCUGCCUCACAAGUACAAGGCCCUGGGUUCAAUCCCUAUCACCCCA